CUGUGACAGAAGUUUCAUCAUUUUAUGGCUAGGUGCACACACUGUAACCAACAAUUUUCCCCUCGCAAAUGCAUGCAUCCUCCAGCCAGAUUCUACCACAGGAUAACCCCAUCAUUCUGACACAUCUAUUAAGGACAGAAAUGACUAAAAGCAGACACUCAGAUUUGGUGGUCCAAGCCAGCAGGCAGUGCCACAGAGUCUCCGGUGGCGACUGCACAAACACCCAACAGGAACUGGGAGGAAAAUAACCUGCAUGCAGUGGAUGAAAAUGCCACUUUAGCAGCACAAAAGCCCCAACAUUCUCCACGCAGUGUCAUAAAAAUAGAGCCCUCGGUCCCUCCAGAGAUGUUUGAGACACGCUCUCAGGAUAAAUAAAAGUCAGAGCAGGAGACAGUUAGAGGAAAAAAUAAGAGGUAAAGAACUGCUCUUAAAAUACUACCUACAGAACCAGGAGAAAUGACCAAUGUUUGAUGACUCUGAGCAAAUGUUUGCCUCAUGCUG